AUUGAACGCUGGCGGCAUGCCUAACACAUGCAAGUCGAACGCGUGGGGGAGGGGUGAGACAUGUCUGGGACACUGCCUGAUGGAUGGGGUUACCUCCUGGAAACGGUAGUUAAUCCGGCAUACCUUCCGAUGUGCCCAGAUGGGAUUCGCUUGUUGGUGGGGUAACGGCUUACCAAGGCAACGAUCCCUAGCUGGUCUGAGAGGAUGAACAGCCACACUGGAACUGAGACACGGUCCAGACUCCUACGGGAGGCAGCAGUAGGGAAUAUUGCACAAUGGGCGAAAGCCUGAUGGAGCCAUGCCGCGUGUGUGAUGAAGGCCUUCGGAUUGUAAAGUACUUUUAGUAGGGAAGCGGUACCCGCAGAGGAAGCACCGGCUAACUCCGUGCCAGCAGCCGCGGUAAUUC
rnacentral:rRNA from 1 species